CUACGGGUCGCAGCAGUGGGGAAUAUUGGACAAUGGGCGCAAGCCUGAUCCAGCAAUGCCGCAUGAGUGAUGAAGGCCCUAGGGUUGUAAAGCUCUUUUACCCGGGAAGAUAAUGACUGUACCGGGAGAAUAAGCCCCGGCUAACUCCGUGCCAGCAGCCGCGGUAAUACGGAGGGGGCUAGCGUUGUUCGGAAUUACUGGGCGUAAAGCGCACGUAGGCGGCUUUGUAAGUCAGAGGUGAAAGCCUGGAGCUCAACUCCAGAACUGCCUUUGAGACUGCAUCGCUUGAAUCCAGGAGAGGUCAGUGGAAUUCCGAGUGUAGAGGUGAAAUUCGUAGAUAUUCGGAAGAACACCAGUGGCGAAGGCGGCUGACUGGACUGGUAUUGACGCUGAGGUGCGAAAGCGUGGGGAGCAAACAGGAUUAGAUACCCUUGUAGUC
rnacentral:rRNA from 1 species